rnacentral:rRNA from 1 species
GACGAACGCUGGCGGCGUGCCUAAUACAUGCAAGUAGAACGCUGAAGGCGGAGCUUGCUUCUCAGGAUGAGUUGCGAACGGGUGAGUAACGCGUAGGUAACCUGUCUGUUAGCGGGGGAGAACUAUUGGAAACGAUAGCUAAUACCGCAUAAGAGUAGAUGUCGCAUGACAUUUGCUUAAAAGGUGCACCUGCACCACUACUAGAUGGCCCUGCGUUGUAUUAGCUAGAUGGUGAGGUAACGGCUCACCAAGGAAACGAUACAUAGCCGACCUGAGAGGGUGAUCGGCCACACUGGGACUGAGACACGGCCCAGACUCCUACGGGAGGCAGCAGUAGGGAAUCUUCGGCAAUGGACGGAAGUCUGACCGAGCAACGCCGCGUGAGUGAAGAAGGUUUUCGGAUCGUAAAGCUCUGUUGUAAGAGAAGAACGAGUGUGAGAGUGGAAAGUUCACACUGUGACGGUAUCUUACCAGAAAGGGACGGCUAACUACGUG